UGUUGAUGUGGUAAUGAGUGAUCAGACUCCACUUCAUGGUCCAUGUUCACUAACAACACCAGAUACUGUCGUCUCUAACAAGGAAAAUGUUAAUAAUAUGAACUCUGCCAUUGAGUCCUCCCAACUGACUGUGUUACGACCGCCACUUCAAGCCUAUGGAUGCAGCAGUUCGUAUGGUAAUCAUUUCUGGCUCAUAUUAACAAUCGUACACAAUGCACACAUACAUCGUACAUAGUAUAAACCUCUGUUGCUCAAGUUGUCUUGAACCUAAUUCACACUUACUAUACAGAAGAAAAACAAGCACUGAAGAGGCAGAGGGAAAAUGCCCGGUAUGAGCAACAUAAAGAAGAGAUAUUGCAAAGCCUACGUGACAAACGUCGUGCAGCCAAAUCUACAGUAGUGCUUACACCCGGAGAACAAAACCAAUCUGAUACAGGUGAUGCCAGCUAUAUGAAACACUGUAUAUCUUAUCUUGGAUUUCCUAAGUGAGAUUCACUCGAUGUUUUUGUAGCUGAUGAAGAUUGUGAUUGGCUACACACAAAUGAUAUGUACCUGAGACAAACCAUUGGAAGGAGGAUGAGGCGAGACAACAUAGUCACUGCGUCGUCACGUGGACACAAUCAAGUCAACAAUUAUAAUGGUGCUUUCAUUGACUACUUCUUGGUUCAUACCUUUCAUUCAUCGCUGAUACUUGCCCAUUUUGCAACAUAUGUUGUCAGGCAACGACCACGACGAUGAUGCAUAUGGAAUACUGGAGCCCGAUGGCAACACAACAAAUAUGGAUGGUACACAUUAAUGCAUUUACGGUUCUAUGUUUAUUUUAGGAUAUCUUAUAAUUAUUACAAACUAAUAUUUGUCUACUAAAUAGACUGCUUGGGAGUUGAAAACCUUAUUGAAACUGAAUAUGUUGAGCCUGAUGAAGAAGCUAGGAUGUUCGCCCACCAAGGUACCUUAUUGCUAUCAUGAGUUUCCAUAUAUAGUAUAAUACUGUCUUUUCUGCAGAACAAAAUAUUAAUUAAUCUUCAUAUUCCAAUCCAGAUGUUGACUUUGAAUCCUACCGAGUUGAACGACGUCACACUGAUGGAACACCAACAAAUGAUCCUCAUGAUAGGGCUUACAUUAACCUUCCCAAAAAUCACCACGUCCUUAGAAAAGUUAGGGACUGUCUCCACUAUGGAGCAUUGCGGUUUCAAUACGAGGGAUCUGCAUUUUGUUGCAGAAAGGGGAAAGUAGAUUUAUUUACUCCCGAGGUCCCAGACGAGUUGAAACGGUUGUUCACAAGUCAACGUGAUGACGAUGCUAAACAUUUUCGAGACAAUAUAUGGUAUUUCAACUCUCACUUCUCAUUCACAAGUCUUGGAGUCACCCUUGAUCGUCGAGUAAGCACUGCAGUAGGAACCGGUGUAUAUACCUUUCGUGCUUGUGGGGGGUUGUACCAUGCUCUUGAUGAGCUGGUGCCGACUGAUAAUGGCCCUAGGCAUUUGCAACUCUAUAUUUAUGAUACAGAUCAUAACUUGGUGCACAGGACUAAUAGGUCUCCAGAUCUAGAUAUAGAUCUCAUACGGAAAAUUCUGGGAAUACUAGAGCAGAACCCUUAUGCACGGGCUUUCAAGAGCCUUGGGUCUGUUCCGAAUCUAGAUGAGUACAAGAUCUCACUAAACACAGAUAUCAAGUUGGAUCAACGUAGGUACAAUGCCCCAACGACUUCUCAGGUGGCAGCGAUAUGGGUUGAAGGGAGCGACCCACAAAACUGUUUUGACAGGAGUGUUGUCGUGCAUGCCAAAAAAGGAGACCGACCACUCUAUAUUAGAGCGUACUAUGGGUGCUAUGACCCAUUGUCAUAUCCACUGUUUUUCCCACGUGGGGAGACUGGUUGGAAUCGUUGGAUGCCGUAUGUUCAUGCCCCCGAUGACACCACCCAAUUUCCAGCGCAUAAUUCUGGACCGCAAGAAAACCGCACCUCUGAUUUACAUACAGGUAUGAUGUUCAUUAUUAAUUCGUUAUCUACUUACUAUCUUUAAGAAGAAUAAUAAAAACAUUUGACUUCCACAACCUAUCAAACAGAUGAAAACUUGAUUAAUGGAAGGGAACGAGUUGGCACCUUUGUGCCAGAUGAAGACCGGGUCACUGGUUUACAUACAGGUAUGGUGUUCAUUAUUAAAUUGUUUUUAUAUACUUGCUAUCUUUGUGAAUAAAAAAUGAAUAUGAAACUUAAGAAUUGGUUCGCCUAUCAAACAGAUGAUAAUUUAAUUAAUGAAAGGGAACAAGUUGGCAAUUUUAUGCCAGAUGAAGGCCAAGCGACUGAUCUACAUGCAGGUACCAGUCAUCAUUGCUUAUAUUCUUAAGCAAAUCUUAUGUUGUCAGUCAUUAUGAGUCCAGCCAGUCUACUGGUAUUUAUGUUCAAUAUUGUAGAUGAUAAUGAGGAUAUCCAAGAUGAGGAUUUUGGUGACAAUGAGGUCAAUGCAACACAAUCCAGGAAAUUUGUUAGUGCAAGGGAGUACUACUGCUUCAAGCUACAGGUCAGGAAGAAGCUUUUUAACAUCAUCUUGUUUGGUGGGCGCCUUUUCCAACAGUGGGCGGUUGAUAUGUAUAUCAAGAUUGAGACUAUGAGGUUGGACUGGUACUCAAAGCCAGAAAAUCAAAAGGUUAUACGAGCUGAUCUCUACCAGGUAUGGUGCUUUUGUUUAUUCCAAUACAUCGUAAUACAAGAACAUUUUGAAAAUCAUGCCUUUUCCAUAACCUUGUAUACUCUUACAGGGUCUUGUUGACACCAUCGUUGCCGGCGAGUCACGCGGUGAUCGAAUUGGCAAGAGAAUCGUGCUUCCACGUACGUUUCCUGGUGGUGAUCGUGAGAUGCAGCGGAGGUUGUUGGAUGCGAUGGCAAUAGUCCAACGGUGGGGUAAACCGGAUUAUUUUAUCACGAUGACUUGCAAUCCCUAUUGGGAGGAGAUAACCCAUAAUCUGAUGCCUGGACAAUUGCCACAAGACCGUCCAGACCUUGUGGCAAGAGUAUACAAGGCUAAACAACGAGAUAUGAUGGACUUGCUAACUAAGGGUAAGCAUUUCGGAGAAGUCGCAGCUUAUGUACAUGUCACCGAGUUUCAGAAAUGAGGCCUUCCUCAUGAGCAUAUACUUUUAAUCAUGAAAACAAAUAGCAAGUUAGCAUCCCCAGAUGACUAUGAUCGGGUGAUAUCCGCAGAGAUACCUGACAAAGAGAAACACCCCGUUCUGCAUGACCUGGUCGUCAAACACAUGCUGCACGGACCCUGUGGUGAGUUGAAAAAGAGUUGUCCUUGCAUGAUUGAGGGACAGUGUAGGUUUCAUUAUCCGCGAGAGUUUUGUGAUGCCACACAACAAGGGAAAGACUCUUAUCCCAUCUAUCGGAGGAGGGACGAUGGGCGUGGAGUUAGGAUCAGAGGAGCGAAUUUGGACAAUAGAUGGGUGGUCCCUUACAACCCUUCUUUGCUUAUGCGAUAUAACUGCCACAUUAAUGUGGAAGCAUGCUCGAGCAUCAAGGCAGUCAAGUAUUUGUUCAAGUACAUCUAUAAAGGCCAUGAUCGGACGUCCUUUGCAUUCGAGCAGGACAUAAUCAAUGAUGGUGGAAUCAUCAAUGAAAUCCGACAAUAUAGGGAUGCACGCUACGUAUCUCCUCCAAAGGCUAUUUACAGGAUUUUUGCUUUCAAAAUGUUUGGUGUCAGUCCAUCAGUGCUGCAGCUCCAGAUUCAUUUGCCGAACAUGCAUACAAUUGCAUUUAAAGCUGGUGAAAAUCUAGAAGAUGUUGUCGCUCGACCAUCUUCAUCCAGGUCCAUGCUUACCGAGUACUUUGAGAUGAACCGGAGGAAUCCGCAAGCACAGAAAUUGUUGUACAGAGAGUUUCCAGAGCAUUAUAGAUGGAUAGCUGGAAAAAAGAAGUGGCAGAAGAGAAGAAAUAACAGAUCACAGAUUGGAAGACUUGUGUAUGCACACCCUGCUGAAGGAGAGAGGUACUACUUGCGUGUGCUGCUAAGUCAUGUUCGAGGUGCCACUUCUUUUGAUGAUUUAAAAACAGUAAAUGGCAACCUAUGCACUUCCUUCAGAGAGGCAUGUGAGCACUUAGGCCUCAUUGAGCACGACAAGACUCUUCAUGAUUGCAUGACAGAGGCAGCCACAUUUCAGAUGCCUUCUGCCCUAAGACGGUUGUUUGCAACUAUAUUGGUAUUUUGCGAGGCAACAGAAAUCCGACAAUUGUGGGAUAAACAUCUACCAUCAAUGUGUGAGGACUACAGUCGUAAUGAAUCCAAUGAGUCGGUACUUGAGCAGAUGGUCCUUCGAGAUAUUAGGGAUAUGUUGCAAUCCAUGGGAAAGGAUAUUAAGAGCUAUGGACUUCCGGAUCUGGUUGAGACCGAUGGUUCUUAUGACAGUGAAUACAGAGAGGUAACAGAGGAGAGGCAAAUCACCGCGGACACAAAACAUCUAGAUCUAUUUAGCAGUUUGAACCAUGAGCAGCUAGCUGGUUUCAAUGACAUAAUGGAUCAUGUGAUGAACAAAAAAAGCCAGAUAUUCUUUGUUGAUGGUCCAGGAGGAACUGGGAAGACGUACUUGUACAAGGCAUUGCUAGCAAAGGUGCGUUCCAUGGGCGAAAUCGCGAUCGCAACUGCUACAUCUGGUAUUGCAGCGUCGAUAAUGCCUGGAGGACGCACAGCACACUCCCGGUUCAAAAUUCCAAUCAAGCUCACUGACAACAGUAUGUGCGGUUUCACAAAACAGAGUGGUACAGCGGAGUUGCUUAGACAGGCGUCCCUGAUAAUUUGGGACGAAGUCGCUAUGACAAAACGACAAGCAGUUGAGACGCUUGAUAGAUCACUACAGGAUAUAAUGGAAUGUUCUUUGCCGUUUGGAGGAAAGGUUGUUGUCUUUGGUGGUGAUUUCAGGCAGGUCCUACCCGUUGUGACACGUGGGACAAGAGCACAGAUAACAGAUGCUACANNNNNNNNNNNNNNNNNNNNNNNNNNNNNNNNNNNNNNNNNNNNNNNNNNNNNNNNNNNNNNNNNNNNNNNNNNNAGGCUGAUCCUUGGUUCUCAGAAUACCUACUAAGGAUAGGCAAUGGAACUGAAGAGACAAUUGGCGACGAUUAUGUCCGUCUCCCCGAGGACAUUGUCAUUGGCUAUACCGAGGAUGAAAAAGCUAUUAACAUGCUCAUCGAAGAUGUCUUCCCAUCUUUGCAGGCCAAUGCUAGAUCGAGAGAGUACAUGAGUGCACGUGCUAUUCUUUCAACCAAGAACGAUCAUGUCGAUGACCUGAAUGACAAAAUGAUCUCCAGGUUUCCAGGCGAAGAAAAGUUAUACCAUAGUUUUGACUCAAUUGAGGAUGACUUGCAGAAUAAUUACACAAUUGAUUUUUUGAACUCAAUCACACCAAAUGGCUUGCCCCCGCAUGUUUUGAAAUUAAAGGUCAACUGUCCAGUCAUUCUGCUCCGGAACCUCGACCCUCAUAAUGGUCUAUGCAAUGGAACACGGCUUAUGAUCAGAGCCUUUCAGGAUAAUGCAAUCGAUGCGGAGAUUGUUGGUGGUCAGCAUGCUGGAAAGAGGGUGUUUAUACCAAGGAUCCCUAUGUCACCCUCGGAGGACAUCUCACUUCCUUUCGAACUUAAGAGAAAACAGUUCCCCAUCCGCCUGAGUUUUGCCAUGACAAUUAACAAGGCACAGGGUCAGACCAUCCCAAAUGUCGGCAUUUACCUUCCCGAGCCAGUAUUCUCACAUGGGCAGCUAUAUGUUGCAUUGUCAAGAGGAGUGUCGAGAGAGACGACACAGAUUUUGGCCAAGCCAAACAAGGAUGUUGAUAAAUCCGGGAAAAGCACCAAGAACAUUGUCUACAGAGAUGUUUUGGAGAGAUGAGGCAGGUGCAUUAUUCCAUUAUUUCUUUUCACAUACUAUGUUCGCUUUCAAAACCAGCUUAUGAAACUAGCUCCUUACAAGCUUUUCAUUUUUUAGCCGUAUCUCAUGUCAUGCACUAAUCACUUCACAUUUUUUGUUGAUCAGGUUUGAGAAAUAUUCUUGUUCAGGAGAAUUGAGGCUUUGCUGUGGUUACUGGUCUCCACAUGUGCAACUUGUAAACCUAUUUGGAAGAGAAGAGCAUGGUCGACUGAUGCUACGACAUGGGGUCAGAUCAUACAUAAUAAGGAACGCUUUGUGCUGUAUCCUGCACUAUCUAAAUUUUCCCUUCGAAAUUAUGUUCUAUUAAACAUGUUCUUGAAUGCCCAAGUGAGAUGCUCUAUGAUAUAUUUGUAACGAAAACUGCAAAAGAUUGAGAUUCCUGGAAUAUAUUCUUGAAUGCCUAAGUGAGAUGUUCUAUGAUAUAUUUGUAACGAAAACUGCAAAAGACUGAGAUUCCUGGAAUAUAUUGAAGUUAAAAGGCGUUUUUUACUACUAUGUUGCAAAUAGGACGUUCCCGGAUCUAUAGCACACGAGCUCACAUGCUUUCUUUUUUUAGAAAAAAAAUCAAAAGAAUAAUGCAUACAGUAUUCAUAAAAGAAUAUAAGUCAUGUAACAGACUAAACUGGUGGAUAACCACAGUGGGCGAGAAUACCUCUUCCAACAUGCAUCAAACCAGUUGAAGAUAUGCCUCCUAUUCCGAUUCCAAUUUCUACUUCACCUCUUCACUGAUCUCCCCCUUGGCUGGCUUGAUGGAUCAUGUGAUGAACCAAAAAAAUCAAAAGAACAAGUCGUGAUCUCCCGCAGUCGCUUGCUCAUGUACAAGAAGGCAAUCACCAUACAUCAG
rnacentral:lncRNA from 1 species